rnacentral:rRNA from 1 species
CCUACGGGUGGCAGCAGUGAGGAAUAUUGGUCAAUGGGCGUGAGCCUGAACCAGCCAAGUCGCGUGAGGGAUGAAGGUUCUAUGGAUUGUAAACUUCUUUUAUCAGGGAAUAAAGUGUGGGACGUGUCCUUUUUUGUAUGUACCUUAUGAAUAAGGAUCGGCUAACUCCGUGCCAGCAGCCGCGGUAAUACGGAGGAUCCGAGCGUUAUCCGGAUUUAUUGGGUUUAAAGGGUGCGUAGGCGGCCUUUUAAGUCAGCGGUGAAAGUCUGUGGCUCAACCAUAGAAUUGCCGUUGAAACUGGGGGGCUUGAGUAUGUUUGAGGUAGGCGGAAUGCGUGGUGUAGCGGUGAAAUGCUUAGAUAUCACGCAGAACCCCGAUUGCGAAGGCAGCAUACCAAGCCAUGACUGACGCUGAUGCACGAAAGCGUGGGGAUCAAACAGGAUUAGAUACCCCUGUAGUC